CAAAAGGAUUGAUUUUUAAAGGUGCUGAGAACAGGUGUCAUCAAGUGGAUUGCUGAUGCUCUGAAAUGCUGACAAAUCUAUCCCUUAAACUUUUGUAAAAGACUGGAAUCAAACUGCGGGAAACAGAACUAUAACUAGGCAUCUCUAAAUGUAUCUGCUUUCUCUUUGGGCAGGUUUACACUCACCAGUACAAAAUACAGAAAACUCACAUGGCUUUUGCAUAGGGCCAAGCUCUGCUUCUGUUGUUUCUUCUUAGCAUUUUAAUGGGUGAAGACCAGAAAGAUAAGACUAAGCACAACACAGCACCAAAAAUAUCAUUUCUAUUGUCUCAAGGCAGGAAGUUCAUUCCAAACUUCUGUAAAGAGAUGACAGUCAGUGAAAACAACCGGAAGUAAAAUCUGAGAGGACACACAGGGGUAUCCACAUGGGUGCUUGACCAUCUUAGGCACUGCAAUAAGAUAUCUGAAGUAAUGGAAAUUUAUUUACUUAUUUAUUUAAAUUUCUGAAAACUACGCUGGAAAAUUUGUUCUGUAUUGAGAAGAGUGAAAUCCCUCCACAGGACUCUUUUGCCUCUGAAUUGCCAAGAAAGGAAAAUCAACAGAAGAAAAGGAAUAGAAUCAGUUAAACACAAAGUAGUUCAAAAAUUCACUAUUUUUCUAUGGCUUUUGAAAGAGAAGACAGUAUAUAAAAACAAACAAAGAAUAAAAGUUCAACACCUAAUCUUAUUUUUGGGAUC
rnacentral:lncRNA from 1 species